GGAGUUUGGACCGUGUCUCAGUUCCAAUGUGGGGGACCUUCCUCUCAGAACCCCUACUGAUCGCAGGCUUGGUGGGCCGUUACCCCGCCAACAACCUAAUCAGACGCAUCCCCAUCCCCAAUAGCGGUGAAUCUUUGCUCCUCAUCUGAUGCCAUCAAAGGAGAACAUAGAGUAUUAAUCCGACUUUCGCCGGGCUAUCCUCUAGUAAGGGGAAGGUUGGAUACGCGUUACUCACCCGUGCGCCGGUCGCCAUCAAAGGAAGCAAGCUUCCUUCAUGCUGCCCCACGACUUGCAUGUGUUAAGCCUGUAGCUAGCGUUCAUC
rnacentral:rRNA from 1 species